CCAUGUUGGCCAGGCUGGCCUCCAACUCCUGACCUCAGGUGAUCCACCCACCUCAGCCUCCCAAAGUGCUGGGAUUACAGGCAUGAGCCGCUGAGUCCAGCCUAGAAAGGAAAAUUUAAGACAUCAGCUUCAAAUUAAGAGCUAUGGAUCUAGAGAAACUGAGCAUAUUGUAACUGGUUGACAGCCGUGACCAAGGAAAACCACAGUACAGUACCUUCUUAAAACUUUCUAGAAACUUAAUUUGCUUCCCUUCUUUUAACGAGAUUUUAAUAUUUAAGGAUGUUUUCUAAACCUGUAAUUCUCAAAAAUUGGAAGUAAACGGAUUUUCAUUCAAUGAAGAGAACUGCCAUUUAGAAGUGAUGGGGUUUACAUAUUUUGUACCGUUAGUUCAUACCUAAGCUAAAAAUAGAAUAACCAGUUUCCCUAUGAUCUCGAGUUUAUGGAAAGCAGCCUUUCUGUUGGCAGUGACAACAAGUUCUCAUUAAAUACAUAAAGAUAAUGUACUCUUCUGCUGUUGUGUCCUUACCAAGAUCGUGGAGUAAAAUUUUGCAGUGUAAGAGGAUAGGGUUUUUCCCUAAGGAAGAGGAUUUUAUUGGCACUAACCACCAAAGAUGUGGUUCCUGAGCUUGGAAGACCAAACUGAGAAGGCUGCCAUUGACUGGAAGAGGAGGAAAUUCAGCCUUGCACUCUACACCACAGACUGAACUACUUGUGAUUUCCUAAACAUAUCAUUGCCUUGCCUUUUGCACAUUCUUAGACUCUUUUGGACUACUUCCUCAUUUCCUGCCCUCUCGCUUCUUUGUCCUUUAAGUCUUGGUUUUCUUAGGCUAGCACUUCAGUGAAAUCUUUCCUAAUUCCCUUCCCCCAAAUACCAUUUUAGGCGCCUCUUGUUUUCUUCUUUCUUUUCUUCUUUUUUGGUAGCUUAAACAAUAAGACCUUUAUUGUUUUAAAACCCAGCAGCAUGAGGAGUUCCUGGGUUGGGUGACUUAGAGGCUAUAAAAAUUCGUCACAAGCAUUACAAGAUAACCAGCAAUACCGCUGAUGAAAGAAAACCUCACAAGCAGCUAGCGGAAGCCAGCUCCUGUCCUCUUGUCCAAAGCUGGAUAGUGUCCAGCCAAACCAUUUUGAGGGUUGAAUGAGUGACUUCAAAGGGCGCAAAUGACUGGUGAAUCUUCCAGAUAAAGGGAGAGAGCACAGCCUUUCCUGCGUAUUUUAAAGUGACAGGUGCUCCACGCACUGAUUUAUCUUUUAUUACCCUGUCGCAGCAUUAGCAUACCCCAGCUACCGCAUGCAUCUUGCAAGCAGUGAUGUGUCGUCAGUAUAGGCACCGUGGUAAUCACAGAGUGCUCAAAUGUUUAUUGAAUAGAAAGAACAAGCUGUACCCGAUUAUAGCUAGCAAUGCUACGAAUAAGGAAAAACAAGACUAAUCAACGCCGUGGAGGGGAAAUUGGCACUUCUCUGGUAGAGACGGCGAUCAUCAUGGUUCUUCAAGGGGAAGGUGAAUAUCAAGGGAAAAGACUGGGAAGCCAUGAGGUCUUUCCACAGUGAUAUUUGGCAUUUGCAUUUUCUUAAAAUAGCAAGUAUCCUUCCAUCUUUUUCUUUGCCUAGGAGGGUAUUAUAAUUCAGAUAAAAGAUGGCUAUGGAUGUGGGAAAAAGAUGGAUAAGGAAAAUAUUGGAGAAGCAGAACUGACCAGAUCUGAUUGAAUGUAAAAGUGCUGAAAAGUUCUCUUCAUUUUGUUUAGCUCAUUUACCAUCUCCCCAAAUACUAAGCACAAAGUGAUAGACUGAAUUCCUAUCUCUUCAUGUCAAUGUGUUGACUUGUAGUUUGAAGUAGAGCCACACAUGUUUAGUCAAGAAUUGAUUGUAAAGAAUAAAAACCCUGUCCAACCAGGAAAUGAGCAAAGGAGGGUUGGGGUAAAGAUUGCAAGAAUAAACAUCUCAGACUCCAAGACAAGAAAAUAUGGGAACCGUGAAGACUGGUUUCGUAUGGAGACCAGCAGCCAUUCCCUUUGUCUCUAUUGCUGCCUACCCAAUUAGCAACUUCCCCCUUGUGACUUAAAUGCCAAAAAGAUGACUUUAAUGGCUCAAUUCAGUGUAUGAAAGAUUCCUGAGAAGAAUGCAUGAUAAAACGUAGCUUCCUAGGUCACCCUUUUAACAGGGACCAGGGGUUUGGGCUGCAGGAGGGCAGUUUCCUGAGGUCAGGCCAAGAAGUGGGCAGAUGUGUUAAAGAACAACUGAAUACUUCUUCAACUAUAUAAAGUCCUUUUAUAUGUAAUACGUGCUAUGUGAUUAAGUCAUUUUAUUUUAGCUUUUUAAAAAAAACCCAACAAAGGGAAAUACAAGGUAAUGGAAACAUUUUAAAGUUUUAAAAUCUGAGUCCUGGUCAUGGGUCUACUAUAAAUGUGAUUUCUUCCCAUAGCUUCUGUUUCUCUAGACUAAACAAGGGAGAUAGUUAUCAAAACUUCAGGUACUAUUUGAACAUACAUCAGCACUUGUUAAUUUGUUAUAAGCCCCGCAAUAGUCCCACAACAGAACACCACGCUUUAGUUUUCAGUAUGUUUCUUCGGCAAAUGAGGUGGUAGGUGGCCAGGCACUAGAUUCAAACUUGAUUUUCUCGGGAUUGUUUUUCCACUUUUAGAGAAUACCAUUCUUAGGCUAAACUCAAUUACAGAAUCUACUGCAUGAUAUACAGCCCUCUGUAGAGUUAAUUACAUCUCUUAAUGGGCAAAUUUUUAAUCUGUUCUUUUUUUCAAUUGCGUAAAAUCCAGAUCUCUCCUAGCUUUAAUUGACUUCCUCUUAUUUUCCCUACAACAAAUAUGGAAAAUAUCUACAUAAAGGUCUUUAUGUAUAAUAUAUAUUUGAAUAUGUAUCAAGUUGUUCCGCACUCUAUUUUUUGUCAGCUGUUAUUUAUUAAUUGCUCUGAACACUUCCAAGUGCUUUGUGUGUAUUAACUGAUUUCAUUCUUGUUACUCUGUGAGGUGGUAUGAUUAUCCCAACUUAAGAGGAAGCUGAAGCACAGUGAGCUAAAGUAGCAAUCGAAGUGAUGGAGCAGGGAGAGAAACCAGGCAGUCUGGCUUCAGAACGUCUAUCCGACCGCUAUGGUGUACUCGAGGAUCCCAUUCUGAAUGUAGGAAUAAACAAAUUCAGUUUCUCCCAGUUUAUGCUCCACUUUAUGAUACCCUUCUGACUCCAGAUGCAUGUUGGGGGAGGUUCCCCACACAUUAAGCAAGUAAGCAGUACUGCAGCAGACACCAGCUGGGUGUCCUCUAAUUCAAUUCACUUCUUACGCUACCUGGAGAUAGCCUCAGAUGCCAUAGGUUGAAGGCUCAGUCCCUCAAAAUGGCUUGCACUUUAGAUGCCAAUCAGAAGCCCCAGAUGGUGACCUAGGCUCCUAAACAACCAGCUAUAAGUUAGGGUUCCCAUAACCCCCUUCUUGGGCUCCAAUUAUUUGCUAGAGAGGCUCACAGAACUCAGGGAUGCCUAUACAGUCAUGCCCUACAUAAUGACAUUUUAAUGUCAGACUGCAUAGACAACAGUGACACCAUAAGAUUAUAAUAUCGUAUUUUUACUGUACCUUUUCUAUGUUUAGGUAUGUUUAGAUACACAAAUGCAGUCGACCAUUGAACAACAUGGGUUUGAACUGUGUGGGCCUGCUUAUAUGUGGAUAUUUUUUUUCAGUAAAUGAAUUGGAUACAUUUUUGGAGAUUUGGAACAAUUUGAAAAACCAGAUGAACCUCAUAGACUAGAAAAAAAAAAAAAAAAAAAAAGAAAAAGGUAUGUCAAGAAUGCAUAAAAUACAUGUAGAUACGAGUCUAUCAUUUACUAUCAUACA